rnacentral:rRNA from 1 species
GGGUUGUGAGGUUAAGCGACUAAGCGUACACGGUGGAUGCCCUGGCAGUCAGAGGCGAUGAAGGACGUGCUAAUCUGCGAUAAGCGUCGGUAAGGUGAUAUGAACCGUUAUAACCGGCGAUUUCCGAAUGGGGAAACCCAGUGUGUUUCGACACACUAUCAUUAACUGAAUCCAUAGGUUAAUGAGGCGAACCGGGGGAACUGAAACAUCUAAGUACCCCGAGGAAAAGAAAUCAACCGAGAUUCCCCCAGUAGCGGCGAGCGAACGGGGAGCAGCCCAGAGCCUGAAUCAGUGUGUGUGUUAGUGGAAGCGUCUGGAAAGGCGCGCGAUACAGGGUGACAGCCCCGUACACAAAAAUGCACAUGCUGUGAGCUCGAUGAGUAGGGCGGGACACGUGGUAUCCUGUCUGAAUAUGGGGGGACCAUCCUCCAAGGCUAAAUACUCCUGACUGACCGAUAGUGAACCAGUACCGUGAGGGAAAGGCGAAAAGAACCCCGGCGAGGGGAGUGAAAAAGAACCUGAAACCGUGUACGUACAAGCAGUGGGAGCACGCUUAGGCGUGUGACUGCGUACCUUUUGUAUAAUGGGUCAGCGACUUAUAUUCUGUAGCAAGGUUAACCGAAUAGGGGAGCCGAAGGGAAACCGAGUCUUAACUGGGCGUUAAGUUGCAGGGUAUAGACCCGAAACCCGGUGAUCUAGCCAUGGGCAGGUUGAAGGUUGGGUAACACUAACUGGAGGACCGAACCGACUAAUGUUGAAAAAUUAGCGGAUGACUUGUGGCUGGGGGUGAAAGGCCAAUCAAACCGGGAGAUAGCUGGUUCUCCCCGAAAGCUAUUUAGGUAGCGCCUCGUGAAUUCAUCUCCGGGGGUAGAGCACUGUUUCGGCAAGGGGGUCAUCCCGACUUACCAACCCGAUGCAAACUGCGAAUACCGGAGAAUGUUAUCACGGGAGACACACGGCGGGUGCUAACGUCCGUCGUGAAGAGGGAAACAACCCAGACCGCCAGCUAAGGUCCCAAAGUCAUGGUUAAGUGGGAAACGAUGUGGGAAGGCCCAGACAGCCAGGAUGUUGGCUUAGAAGCAGCCAUCAUUUAAAGAAAGCGUAAUAGCUCACUGGUCGAGUCGGCCUGCGCGGAAGAUGUAACGGGGCUAAACCAUGCACCGAAGCUGCGGCAGCGACGCUUAUGCGUUGUUGGGUAGGGGAGCGUUCUGUAAGCCUGUGAAGGUGUGCUGUGAGGCAUGCUGGAGGUAUCAGAAGUGCGAAUGCUGACAUAAGUAACGAUAAAGCGGGUGAAAAGCCCGCUCGCCGGAAGACCAAGGGUUCCUGUCCAACGUUAAUCGGGGCAGGGUGAGUCGACCCCUAAGGCGAGGCCGAAAGGCGUAGUCGAUGGGAAACAGGUUAAUAUUCCUGUACUUGGUGUUACUGCGAAGGGGGGACGGAGAAGGCUAUGUUGGCCGGGCGACGGUUGUCCCGGUUUAAGCGUGUAGGCUGGUUUUCCAGGCAAAUCCGGAAAAUCAAGGCUGAGGCGUGAUGACGAGGCACUACGGUGCUGAAGCAACAAAUGCCCUGCUUCCAGGAAAAGCCUCUAAGCAUCAGGUAACAUCAAAUCGUACCCCAAACCGACACAGGUGGUCAGGUAGAGAAUACCAAGGCGCUUGAGAGAACUCGGGUGAAGGAACUAGGCAAAAUGGUGCCGUAACUUCGGGAGAAGGCACGCUGAUAUGUAGGUGAAGUCCCUCGCGGAUGGAGCUGAAAUCAGUCGAAGAUACCAGCUGGCUGCAACUGUUUAUUAAAAACACAGCACUGUGCAAACACGAAAGUGGACGUAUACGGUGUGACGCCUGCCCGGUGCCGGAAGGUUAAUUGAUGGGGUCAGCGCAAGCGAAGCUCUUGAUCGAAGCCCCGGUAAACGGCGGCCGUAACUAUAACGGUCCUAAGGUAGCGAAAUUCCUUGUCGGGUAAGUUCCGACCUGCACGAAUGGCGUAAUGAUGGCCAGGCUGUCUCCACCCGAGACUCAGUGAAAUUGAACUCGCUGUGAAGAUGCAGUGUACCCGCGGCAAGACGGAAAGACCCCGUGAACCUUUACUAUAGCUUGACACUGAACAUUGAGCCUUGAUGUGUAGGAUAGGUGGGAGGCUUAGAAGUGUGGACGCCAGUCUGCAUGGAGCCGACCUUGAAAUACCACCCUUUAAUGUUUGAUGUUCUAACGUUGACCCGUAAUCCGGGUUGCGGACAGUGUCUGGUGGGUAGUUUGACUGGGGCGGUCUCCUCCUAAAGAGUAACGGAGGAGCACGAAGGUUGGCUAAUCCUGGUCGGACAUCAGGAGGUUAGUGCAAUGGCAUAAGCCAGCUUGACUGCGAGCGUGACGGCGCGAGCAGGUGCGAAAGCAGGUCAUAGUGAUCCGGUGGUUCUGAAUGGAAGGGCCAUCGCUCAACGGAUAAAAGGUACUCCGGGGAUAACAGGCUGAUACCGCCCAAGAGUUCAUAUCGACGGCGGUGUUUGGCACCUCGAUGUCGGCUCAUCACAUCCUGGGGCUGAAGUAGGUCCCAAGGGUAUGGCUGUUCGCCAUUUAAAGUGGUACGCGAGCUGGGUUUAGAACGUCGUGAGACAGUUCGGUCCCUAUCUGCCGUGGGCGCUGGAGAACUGAGGGGGGCUGCUCCUAGUACGAGAGGACCGGAGUGGACGCAUCACUGGUGUUCGGGUUGUCAUGCCAAUGGCACUGCCCGGUAGCUAAAUGCGGAAGAGAUAAGUGCUGAAAGCAUCUAAGCACGAAACUUGCCCCGAGAUGAGUUCUCCCUGACUCCUUGAGAGUCCUGAAGGAACGUUGAAGACGACGACGUUGAUAGGCCGGGUGUGUAAGCGCAGCGAUGCGUUGAGCUAACCGGUACUAAUGAACCGUGAGGCUUAACCUUACAACGCCGAAGGUGUUU